rnacentral:rRNA from 1 species
UACGGAGGAUGCAAGCGUUAUCCGGAAUGAUUGGACGUAAAGCGUCCGCAGGUGGCUGUGUAAGUCUGCUGUUAAAGAGUCUAGCUCAACUAGAUACAAGCAGUGGAAACUACACGGCUAGAGUACGUUCGGGGCAGAGGGAAUUCCUGGUGUAGCGGUGAAAUGCGUAGAGAUCAGGAAGAACACCGAUGGCGAAGGCGCUCUGCUAGGCCGUAACUGACACUGAGGGACGAAAGCUAGGGGAGCGAAUGGG